AAACCAGCACUUCAAGUGGUCAGCAGGAUUAUUGGGCCUAAAGCAUCCGUAGCCUGUUCUAUAAGUUUCCGGUUAAAUCCACUAGCUCAACUAGUGGGCUGCCGAAAAUACUGUAGAACUAGGGAGUGGGAGAGGUAGACGGUAUUCGGUAGGAAGGGGUAAAAUCCUUUGAUCUAUUGAGGACCACCUGUGGCGAAGGCGGUCUACCAGAACACGUUCGACGGUGAGGGAUGAAAGCUGGGGGAGCAAACCGGAUUAGAAACCCCUGUAGUCC
rnacentral:rRNA from 1 species